UACGUAGGGGGCGAGCGUUGUCCGGAAUUACUGGGCGUAAAGGGCGCGUAGGCGGCUUGUUAAGUUAGAUGUGAAAUCCCCGGGCUUAACCUGGGUGUUGCAUUUAAAACUGGCGGGCUUGAGUGCAGGAGAGGAAAGCGGAAUUCCUAGUGUAGCGGUGAAAUGCGUAGAUAUUAGGAGGAACAUCAGUGGCGAAGGCGGCUUUCUGGACUGUAACUGACGCUGAGGCGCGAGAGCGUGGGGAGCAAACAGG
rnacentral:rRNA from 1 species